CUUACAAUAUGUUUUAUUUAAAAACAUAUAAUACAUAUAUAAGUAUAUUAAUUCAUAUUUUCCGGCACCCAUUAUGUUAGAAUCAACAAUUAAAUAGUAUUUUAUAGUCAUAUUGUAGCUGGACGCAAGUAAUUAGUCAAGUUAAAAUAGUACAACAGAAAACAUUGAGGUUUCUGUGUUGCAGAUAAGGUGCUCCUUUCUAAGUCUCAUCCUUUAUCAUUGCGCCCUCUGGUGGAGAAGCACAAACCUCACAGACGUCAAACAGGCUGAGGUAUGAUUCACCGUUUGGGUUUUACACGACGACUAGUGACAGGAAAGUCAGUAACACAAAUAAUCUCUUCAUCACAGCAUUUGUUAGUAGAACUAAGACCUUAAACAGCAAGAGAAUGUGUUUCCUCAAAGUUGAUAGGUGGCAGUCAGUCUCGCAGCAGCUAUGAAGAGCCCUCUGACUAAAGACUGUUGCUGUAUGACAGUCUCAUGGCCGUCACGACACGCUACAUUUUCAAUUUCUGGGCAGCAGUGAUGAUAUUCCAUGGUGACAUAUCCCAAAUUAGUUAUCUUUAAAAUAUCUGAGAAAUAAGAUAUUUCUAAGAUGGGAGCACAGCAGUUGAUGUGCUCCCAUCAACUGUUGGGAGCACAAUCUCUGUCUAGGCUAGGGUUAGAAAGCCAGGCAGAGAAACAUUGGAGAUGGGGAUAUGAUCCCUGCCCAUUAUGAUCGAUGUGGUUUGAUCAAAUAAAAAACAGCAACUGUUGCUCAGAUUCAGUCUAUCAGAACUGGUCCCAUUAGCAAUGAAAGAAGGUGCGGGGGAAAGCAGUAUAUCCUGCUGCCUGUGGCCUCUUUCGCCACAAUAAUACGCUCUGUAGCAAAACAAAAGCUGUUCAGGACAAAUUUGAGAAGCAAAAAAACAUGCCUGAGGUAUUGACUUGGCCUCCAGAUUCCUCUGAUUUCAAUUCAACUGAGCACUUUUGGGAUGUCUUGCCCAAUCUUUGGAGUUUCCACCUCACAACUUACUGAACUUAC